AUUGAACGCUGGCGGCAUGCCUUACACAUGCAAGUCGAACGGUAACGCGGGGCAACCUGGCGACGAGUGGCGAACGGGUGAGUAAUGCAUCGGAACGUGCCCAGUAGUGGGGGAUAGCCCGGCGAAAGCCGGAUUAAUACCGCAUACGACCUACGGGUGAAAGGGGGGGAUCGCAAGGCCUCUCGCUAUUUGAGCGGCCGAUGUUAGAUGAGGUAGUUGGUGGGGUAAAGGCCUACCAAGCCGACGAUCUGUAGCUGGUCUGAGAGGACGACCAGCCACACUGGGACUGAGACACGGCCCAGACUCCUACGGGAGGGAGCAGUGGGGAAUUUUGGACAAUGGGCGCAAGCCUGAUCCAGCCAUGCCGCGUGCGGGAAGAAGGCCUUCGGGUUGUAAACCGCUUUUGUCAGGGAAGAAACGCGCUGAGUUAAUACCUCGGCGUAAUGACGGUACCUGAAGAAUAAGCACCGGCUAACUACGUGCCAGCAGCCGCGGUAAUAC
rnacentral:rRNA from 1 species